rnacentral:rRNA from 1 species
CCUACGGGAGGCAGCAGUAGGGAAUUUUCGGCAAUGGGGGGAACCCUGACCGAGCAACGCCGCGUGAACGAAGAAGUUCUUCGUAUUGUAAAGUUCUUUUAACAGGGAAGAAAGAGAAAUUUGACGGUACCUGAAGAAUAAGCUCCGGCUAACUACGGGCCUGCAGCCGCGGUAAUACGUAGGAAGCGAGCGUUAUACGGAAUGCAGGGGCGAAAAGGGUGCGUAGAUGGCAUAGUAAGUCUUUUGGAAAAAUGCUGGGCUAAACCCAGUAGGGCAAAAGAUACUGGAAAGCUAGAGUAUGACAGAGGAAAGUGGAACUACAUGUGUAGCGGUAAAAUGCGUAGAGAUAUGGAGGAACACCAGUGGCGAAGGCGGCUUGCUGGGUCGAUACUGACACUGAGGCACGAAAGCGUGGGGAGCAAACAGGAUUAGAUACCCUGGUAGUC